rnacentral:rRNA from 1 species
GACGAACGCUGGCGGCGUGCCUAAUACAUGCAAGUCGAACGCAGUUGCGAACGGGUGAGUAACGCGUAGGUAACUGCCUCAUAGCGGGGGAUAACUAUUGGAAACGAUAGCUAAUACCGCCUACUGUGAGAUGGACCUGCUUUGUAUUAGCUAGUUGGUGAGGUAAAGGCGCACCAAGGCGACGAUACAUAGCCGACCUGCGAGGGGGAGCGGACACACUGGGACUGAGACACUGCCCAGACUCCUACGGGAGGGAGCAGUAGGGAAACUUUGGCAAUGGACGGAAGUCUGACCGAGAAACGCCGCGGGAGUGAAGAAGGUGUGCGGAUCGUAAAGCUCUGUUGUGAGAGAAGCGGGAACCAACAAGAAAGGGACGGCUAACUACGGGCCAGCAGCCGCGGUAAUUC